AUUGAACGCUGGCGGAAUGCUUUACACAUGCAAGUCGAACGGCAGCACGGGGGCAACCCUGGUGGCGAGUGGCGAACGGGUGAGUAAUACAUCGGAACGUGCCCAUGUCGUGGGGGAUAACGUAGCGAAAGCUACGCUAAUACCGCAUACGAUCUACGGAUGAAAGCGGGGGACCGUAAGGCCUCGCGCGAUUGGAGCGGCCGAUGGCAGAUUAGGUAGUUGGUGGGGUAAAGGCUCACCAAGCCUGCGAUCUGUAGCUGGUCUGAGAGGACGACCAGCCACACUGGGACUGAGACACGGCCCAGACUCCUACGGGAGGCAGCAGUGGGGAAUUUUGGACAAUGGGCGCAAGCCUGAUCCAGUCAUUCCGCGUGCAGGAUGAAGGCCUUCGGGUUGUAAACUGCUUUUGUACGGAACGAAAAGACUCUCUCUAAUACAGGGGGCUCAUGACGGUACCGUAAGAAUAAGCACCGGCUAACUACGUGCCAGCAGCCGCCGUAA
rnacentral:rRNA from 1 species